rnacentral:rRNA from 1 species
UACAGGGGGUGCAAGCGUUGCUCGGAAUUAUUGGGCGUAAAGCGCACGUAGGCGGUUCGUUAUGUCAGAUGUGAAAGCCCUUGGCUCAACUGAGGAAGUGCAUCUGAAACUGGCGAGCUAGAGUAUGUAAGAGGGUCGCGGAAUUCCCGGUGUAGAGGUGAAAUUCGUAGAUAUCGGGAGGAACACCGGUGGCGAAGGCGGCGACCUGGGACAAUACUGACGCUGAGGUGCGAAAGCGUGGGGAGCAAACAGG